rnacentral:tRNA from 1 species
CAUCCCCGGUUUACCCGCUCAUAGUUCUUGCUCUAUCCGCGCACUUCUUUCAUCCGAGGGUAGAAGCCUUAG